AUUGAACGCUGGCGGCAGGCCUAACACAUGCAAGUCGAGCGGAUGAAGGGAGCUUGCUCCUGGAUUCAGCGGCGGACGGGUGAGUAAUGCCUAGGAAUCUGCCUGGUAGUUGGGGAUAACGUCCGUAAACGGGCGCUAAUACCGCAUACGUCCUGAUGGAGAAAGUGGGGGAUCUUCGGACCUCACGCUAUCAGAUGAGCCUAGGUCGGAUUAGCUAGUUGGUUGGGUAAAGGCCUACCAAGGCGACGAUCCGUAACUGGUCUGAGAGGAUGAUCAGUCACACUGGAACUGAGACACGGUCCAGACUCCUACGGGAGGCAGCAGUGGGGAAUAUUGGACAAUGGGCGAAAGCCUGAUGCAGCAAUGCCGCGUGUGUGAAGAAGGUCUUCGGAUUGUAAAGCACUUUAAGUUGGGAGGAAGGGAAGUAAGUUAAUACCUUGAUGUUUUGACGUUACCAAAAGAAUAAGCACCGGCUAACUUCGUG
rnacentral:rRNA from 1 species